UAUUCUGUUAUCAAGUGUUGGCUUGCUAGAAAAAAUAGAAUGCCUGAUGAAGUCAGACACUCAAUGGAAGGAAUUAAGCUCUGCCCAACUCAAAAUGAAAUUUUUCUUGAGUCACCAACUGCAAUAAAUAGCGUCACAAACAUUUACGAAACAGAAGAGGAGGGGUGGAAGAGUGACACUUCAUUAUAUGAAAAUGACACAGAUGAGCCCUGGGAAGAGGAAGUGGAAGAUCUAAUCUCCUGGAUCAACACUCUCAAUACAAAUACUUUAGAAGAUUAAGCAGAACAUUAUCAGAUUAAAAAACUGAACAGCCUCCACCAUAGCCCAGUGUUGUGGAGCAAUUUUGGAAGACUCUCA